GGGGCUGACAGGUUUCGACGUCAGUUUCGGUGUCCGAGCGUGCGACCCGAGUUGCUCAGACUCGAAAAACGGGGCAAAAACAUAACUGCCAACACGCAGUUUGCUGUUGCUGCCUGAUUUUCAGGUAACAACAGACAUCGUGAGCCGCAAGGCCGCACGGGGCCAGCUCCUCGCAGCCCGGCAACAGAAGCGGGGGGUGACGGUGGGAAAGACCACUGGAGGCGUGGAAGAACGCUGGCCGGACGGAAAGACGUCCCGGUGACCCUCUCGUAAGAGUGGGUCAGUCGACCCGCCGAUGACGCGCCGUCGCGUCGAAGUCGGGAAUGGUCGUAUCACGGGCGGUUCCCGCCUGGCGGACGGGGGUUCGAUUCCCCCCAGCUCCACGA
rnacentral:tmRNA from 1 species